rnacentral:rRNA from 1 species
UACGUAGGGUCCGAGCGUUGUCCGGAAUUACUGGGCGUAAAGAGCUCGUAGGCGGUUUGUCGCGUCGUUCGUGAAAACUCACAGCUUAACUGUGGGCGUGCAGGCGAUACGGGCAGACUAGAGUACUGCAGGGGAGACUGGAAUUCCUGGUGUAGCGGUGGAAUGCGCAGAUAUCAGGAGGAACACCGGUGGCGAAGGCGGGUCUCUGGGCAGUAACUGACGCUGAGGAGCGAAAGCGUGGGGAGCGAACAGG